rnacentral:rRNA from 1 species
ACGCUGGCGGCGUGCUUAACACAUGCAAGUCGAGCGGUAAGGCCCUUCGGGGUACACGAGCGGCGAACGGGUGAGUAACACGUGGGUGAUCUGCCUUGCACUCUGGGAUAAGCCUGGGAAACUGGGUCUAAUACCGGAUAUGACCUUCGGUUGCAUGACCGGGGGUGGAAAGAUUUAUCGGUGCAAGAUGAGCCCGCGGCCUAUCAGCUUGUUGGUGGGGUAAUGGCCUACCAAGGCGACGACGGGUAGCCGGCCUGAGAGGGCGACCGGCCACACUGGGACUGAGACACGGCCCAGACUCCUACGGGAGGCAGCAGUGGGGAAUAUUGCACAAUGGGCGGAAGCCUGAUGCAGCGACGCCGCGUGAGGGAUGACGGCCUUCGGGUUGUAAACCUCUUUCGACUCCGACGAAGCGAGAGUGACGGUAGGAGUAUAAGAAGCACCGGCCAACUACGUGCCAGCAGCCGCG